rfam:Schistosoma curassoni strain Dakar, Senegal genome assembly, scaffold: SCTD_contig0000604
AUCCAGCUGACGAGUCCCAAACAGGACGAAACGCGCGU